rnacentral:rRNA from 1 species
UGGGUAACCUGCCUCAAAGAGGGGAAUAGCCUCCCGAAAGGGAGAUUAAUACCGCAUAAUAUGUUUAAGUCGCAUGACUUUAACAUCAAAGGAUUUUCCUUUAGAACUUCCACUUUGAGAUGGACCCGCGGCGCAUUAGCUAGUUGGUGAGGUAACGGCUCACCAAGGCAACGAUGCGUAGCCGACCUGAGAGGGUGAUCGGCCACAUUGGAACUGAGACACGGUCCAGACUCCGUAGGGAGG